rnacentral:lncRNA from 1 species
CCACCCGAACAAAAAAAUAAUAAAAAUACAUUGCUUGCUCACAAAGGCGAGAAAACUCCUCUAUAAAUUCCCUCAUCUAUUAUUUUCUCAAACAUCAAGCAAUUAGCAAACACACAUCAAACACUUAGCAUUAUUUCUAUAAAAUUCCAAAUAUGGCUUCCAUGGGAGUAAACUAUGCCCAUCUUCACGUGCAGCAAAAACGCCUAAAACAGAAUUUGAAGAGAACGGAAGUGGAAAAAGCUCAUAGUAAUAACGAAUGUGGCGCGGUGAAAAAAUUAGUAGAGGAUGGUAAACGUAGUAAGGGUAAGAAAAUUUACCCUGCUGGCUUUGCUUCACUGGAUUCUAAUGAGAACUUAGUUGAAAAUAUAGAGUAGUAAUAAUGGGUAUGUCAAAUAAAGUGUAUUAGUCAUAUUUUUCUCUAGUUUCUUGUAAAAAAUGCUUCUCUCUUUGUGUUUUUCUGUCUGUCAAGCUGUGGUCACGUAACUUGUGCAUGUAAUAUAUAUUGUUUGAGCCCUUGCACUGUUGGUUUUACUCAUUAAACAAAGCCCAAAUCAUGGCAGUAACUUAAGUAAGUGUGAUUUAUAUAAUUUAUUUUAAGUUUCCGAAUAAUGUUUGGGUUUAAUUUGAAUAUACUGAUAGUGUAAUUUACUCUAGAGCUAGCAAAAUUCGAUUUUAGAGCUUAAUGCUUAUACAAGUCGUUUUAUCUAAAACUUUAACUUGUUAGACGUAAAAUCUUUGUUUAUUUACUUUAAGCAGGCAUCAAAAGCCAUUAAAUUAGCAAUUUCAAAAUCGAUAAGUAGUUGUUGAAGAUUUUCCCUCUAAAUGUAGAAAUCACCCAACAAUGAAGAAAUAUGCCGAAACUAAAGCUCAUUACACCUAUUGUCCGUUUUAUUACACAUGACACGUCAUGUUUUCCUUUUUUUAUUUAUGGCGCAACUCUUCCUGGGAAGCAUGACAUUUCUUGACUCUCAGUCAUUAGUCCAUCCUUCAAUUUGGGGGUAUUGUAUGCCUACCAGCUUUUACUUGGUUCGUUCCUGAUAACAUUGAAUCGAGAGAAUCUGGCUCUGAUACUAUUUGGUCACAAUCGUCUCUGUUUAUUAUCUGUUUUGAUCGAAUAGAUAUCGACGUAUAUAUCACCCAAAAAUGACGCAUCACGUCCAUCCUCUUUCAAUAUGCAAUGAUUCAAUAGUUAUGCACCCUUCUUAGAAAGUGCUGCCUAGAAAUAUAUAUGUCAAUCCUUGAAUUUUCAGCAUCACUCUGCCUUCCAAUCAUGAGAGUUACAGAAUAUGUCUUUAAACAAUGAAAUGAAAUAACUUCAAAUCUUACAAGAUAUUAGAGUAACUUUAAUACUCCCUCUAUUUCAAUGACAUUAUUAUGAAAUUUUAUUUUCAAAAACUUGAAGAAUCUAUAUCUAAAUACACAUUCAAAAUUAUAAACUUUGACUCUUGUACUCAAGAUCUUGCCAUAUAAAGUGGAACAGAGAGAGUAAUUAUUUUGUUAAAGAAAUAUGGUCGGACACUCUUUUAAUUUAAGAUAUAUCUUAAGCACAUUAGAACUGUCAUAAAUAUUAUCCAACCACAUUAUUAUUUCAAAAUGGCAAAAAUGCAAGAAAUUUGUCAAGUCAUGGCUGAACGAGAUUGUUUUAUUGUUGGGAAAAGUAGUGUUUUAAAAGGCGUUUUCGGGAGCCCUGGGACGAGGCGCACCAAAAACUCUCCGAGGCGAUGUGUGGGGCGAAAGUCUCAAGAGGCGUACGCCCCGGGCGUUCGGGGCUUACGCCCGGGCGUUUGAGGUAUUUUUUUUAGUGAUGCAUAAGCCCAUAGACUUUUUCAAAUUAAAACAAAUUUUGUUGAAUAAGUCGUUUAUAUAAUACCUAAAUUCUCAAAAGUCAGCUUGGUAAUUACUCAAAAGUUUUAAAAAGGAACUGAAAUAUAUUAAAUUAAAAGUCAAGAGCUUUUAUAUUGAUUGAAGCCCUAAUUCAUAAUCUUUCCCAAUUUUUUAUUUUAUCUGCUAGUCUGCUAAUAUCUCCUAAAAGCAACGAAUAUUUAAUUUUUUUAUACAAAUACAAAGAUAACUCCAUUAUCCUUCACAUCAUCAAGUUUAAAGUUCAAAUUGCGGGUUAGUCAUCCUUUUUGUUCCUCCAUGUAGAAAAUUUUAUUCUUUUAGAUUCAAGUUACUUGUGCUUGUAAGUGGCGUAUAAUAGAUUGUUUUGACUAGUUUUUUGUGGAGAUGGAGAGCGCGCGCGCGCGCGCGCACACACACACACACACACACACACACACACACACACAUAUAUAUAUAAUAAAUAUUUACUGUAAUUAUAUUAUUUUAUAAAAUAUUAAAAAUUAAAUACCUAUGGGGCUUACACCUCGUUGAGGGAUAUGUAAAACGUCUCGCCUUACGCCCACGCCUUUUAAAACACUGGAAAAAGUUAGGCUGAUUUUAGGUUGGUCAAAAUAGGCAGGUCAAUAACCCGUCCAAAAGUAAUUUGGGUUUAGAUGGGCUAAAUCAAGUUAGGCUAAAAUUUGGGCCAUAAGUCAACCCGUCCAAGCUUUAACUAAUGUAUAUUAUUUUCUUAUGAAUUUUUUAAUUAUCAAAUAAGAUUUUGUAUCUUUUGUUAUGGUCAUAUAUAACAUAUAAAACAUAGGAAAAAUAUUUUAAAGAUAUUUUAGCAAAGUUACCCAUGGAUUAAUUUGAGCUAAAAAUUAGCCCAACUUUAAAUUGACUGCAAUGGGUUGGGUCAAGAUUGGCUGAGUUCAAUAAAUGAGUGGGUCAAUGACCAACCCAAUCUUGAACGGAUUAACCGGGUCAUGGGUUUGAGCUUAAAAAAAUUGACAUUCCUAGUUCAAGCAAACUUCACCUACUUUUCGCGGCGCAAACAAAUAGCUGUUGAUAAUUGAAAGAGGAAAACUGCAAAUAUAUAGUUAAAAUAAAUAUAAUUUUACACUAAUAAAAAAUAUCGGUAACUUCUAUUAGUAGUAUUUUUUUAAUUCUUAUUUUUCAUAUUAUUAUUUUGAGUAGUGCUUAAAUUGAGCAAAAUGGUCAUUGAUAUAACCGAUCUCUAUUUACCUUAUAGUGUGUGUAUAAUGUGUCUUUGGCUUUGCACUUUAUAAAUAUAACAUUUUCUUAAUUUUACAACGUUUGACAAUCUAAUUAUAAAUAGUUUGAAAAAGAGCUACUUAUUAGAUUAUGACCAACCACAAACUCCACAGGAGGACAUUGAAAGAGUGCUCAUUCCAUCAAGCUCAAAGUUAGGAUUUGCGACUAAAAGUUGAUGAUUGACAACAACCAAACUCGUAUCAAAAAAAUAGAAAAAAAGAAAAAAGUCAAUCACGAAUGGUUUCCUAACAUUUAGUAAGAUUUUUCUUU